rnacentral:rRNA from 1 species
GAUGAACGCUGGCGGCGUGCCUAACACAUGCAAGUCGAACGAAGACAUACCGACGGAAUCCUUCGGGAGGAAGAUGGUAUGGACUGAGUGGCGGACGGGUGAGUAACGCGUGGGUAACCUGCCCUGUACAGGGGGACAACAGUUAGAAAUGACUGCUAAUACCGCAUAAGCGCACAGUACCGCAUGGUACAGUGCGAAAAACUCCGGUGGUACAGGAUGGGCCCGCGUCUGAUUAGUUAGUUGGCGGGGUAACGGCCCACCAAGACCGCGAUCGGUAGCCGACCUGAGAGGGUGACCGGCCACAUUGGGACUGAGACACGGCCCAAACUCCUACGGGAGGCAGCAGUGGGGAAUAUUGCACAAUGGGGGAAACCCUGAUGCAGCGACGCCGCGUGAGUGAAGAAGUAUUUCGGUAUGUAAAGCUCUAUCAGCAGGGAAGAAGAAAUGACGGUACCUGACUAAGAAGCCCCGGCUAACUACGUG